rnacentral:lncRNA from 1 species
AUUCAAGUAGGAGGCACACUUGAUUGGUACUAUCAAAUUAGUAGGAGGCACCAUCUUGCUUCCUUCUUAUUCCUUUUUGUGUUCUUUCUUGGGAGAAUGGAAAAGCCAACAGCAGCACAUAACAAACAGGCUGCAAAGUGAAAACAUGAAAAUUUAAUACAGAGAUGACAAGUGUAAUUAGUAGGGUAUGAUGUCGACGAUGAUUGUGAUCUACUAGCAAAUGAAACAGAAUUACCAUGCUUCAACAAAACCCUUCUCUUCAUUUCCUUUGGUCUCUGUACCCAGAAGUUUUCCUUGCUUGCGUCCUGCUGGUUUUCCCUUUUUCUUCUCUGCGGUGCCUUUGGUUUCUAUUUGCGGAAGGCUUUCUUGCUCGCAUCCUGCUGGUUUCUCUGUUGUAUGAACUAGAGGGUAUUAGUCUCAAACGAGACAAAACACAUAAAAGAGAGAGAGAAACAGAGAGUUACCAUCUGCCAUUGCAAAAUAUAUAAGAACCACUUUCUUCCUCCAAGUGAGUUAUGUUCUUUUGGCAGACUAUGGCUGAGGAUGUUUCUAUGUUGAAGAUUACUGGGCACUUUGUGAUUUUAUAUACAUUUUAGGAAUGUAUGUGUGUGUGUAAGUCUUUUUUUUUUUUAUAUUCUUUUUUGGAUUCUGGAAUCAGAACAUUGAAAGUUCCAGUGGCAUCCACUGCAGCCGGAUGCCUAUUUCCAGCCAUAUAUGAGAUUUGAUGUUGUCAAGCAAUACGGGGAAUCACUUUAUUUUAGAAUAUAUUUGACAUUGUCUCUAGCAGUCUUUAUCUGUUCAAAACUCAACUGUCUUUUAUGUAUUCAAAACUUAAAUGGAAAUUG